CCCCUUCCCUCCAACCAUUGCCGCGCCUAUAUUCGCCCCGUCGGUCGCAAGGCCGACUAUGGCGAUAAACGAGCGGCGUAAUACACCUUUCGGACCCGGGGGCAGUACCCGGCGCCUCCACCAGAGCGCGUCAAGUCGGCAGUAGAGCCGAGUGGCGCGUUGCGGCGGGGGCGAACUAGGAUCGACGAGGGUCUAAAGACCGUUUUUUUGCCCGGCAUGAUACCGCCGUUAUCGGGUCACCCUAUAGUUGCAAACGACAACUAUGCUCCGGUUGCAAUGGCCGCGUGAGCGGUUUUUGACUCCGGGUUCAAGCCCUAACGGUUAGCCCCGUUAGGCGGGGUUCGGGGGUACCUGGCAACAGAAACCCUCACU
rnacentral:tmRNA from 1 species